GGGGAAUAUUGCACAAUGGAGGAAACUCUGAUGCAGCAACGCCGCGUGAGGGAAGAAGGUCUUCGGGUCGUAAAGCUCUGUUGUUAGGGAAGAACAAGUAUCGGAGUAACUGCCGGUACCUUGACGGUACCUAACCAGAAAGCCACGGCUAACUACGUGCCAGCAGCCGCGGUAAUACGUAGGUGGCAAGCGUUGUCCGGAAUUAUUGGGCGUAAAGCGCGCGCAGGCGGUCCUUUAAGUCUGAUGUGAAAGCCCACGGCUCAACCGUGGAGGGUCAUUGGAAACUGGGGGGCUUGAGUGCAGAAGAGGAAAGCGGAAUUCCACGUGUAGCGGUGAAAUGCGUAGAGAUGUGGAGGAACACCAGUGGCGAAGGCGGCUUUCUGGUCUGUAACUGACGCUGAGGCGCGAAAGCGUGGGGAGCAAAC
rnacentral:rRNA from 1 species